rnacentral:rRNA from 1 species
UACGGGGGGGCAAGCGUUGUUCGGAAUUACUGGGCGUAAAGGGCUCGUAGGCGGCCAACUAAGUCCGACGUGAAAUCCCCAGGCUUAACCUGGGAACUGCGUCGGAUACUGGAUGGCUUGAAUUCGGGAGAGGGAUGCAGAAUUCCAGGUGUAGCGGUGAAAUGCGUAGAUAUCUGGAGGAAUACCGGUGGCGAAGGCGGCAUCCUGGACCGACAUUGACGCUGAGGAGCGAAAGCUAGGGGAGCAAACGGG